UACGGGGGGGGCAAGCGUUGUUCGGAAUUACUGGGCGUAAAGGGCUCGUAGGCGGCCAACUAAGUCAGACGUGAAAUCCCUCGGCUUAACCGGGGAACUGCGUCUGAUACUGGAUGGCUAGAGGUUGGGAGAGGGAUGCGGAAUUCCAGGUGUAGCGGUGAAAUGCGUAGAUAUCUGGAGGAACACCGGUGGCGAAGGCGGCACUCGUGGGCCGGUACUGACGCUGAGGAGCGAAAGCGUGGGUAGCAAACAGGA
rnacentral:rRNA from 1 species